AUUGUCAGGGAUGUGAUUUGAGCUUGCUCGUCCAGUCGUCCCUGGGAAAACUGACCCGUGAGUGUGAUGAGGGGACGGUGAAGAUCAGCUAACGUGAGCAGUCUGAUCCGGGGGUACGAGGCCCUGGCCAGCCGGUCUCACGGAGACAUCAGCGGUGUGGCAUCCUCACAUGCACUACCGGAUGACGACAGAGUUCCGAUCAGCCUCCGACCUUCUGUUCGGAAGAUCAGGGCAGAGUUGGAACAGCUGACAGAACAGACCGACUCCGUCCCCUCAGCUAGCGGUGUGGUUACCGGUACACCACCGCCUAAACCACCCAGGCUUCACCGUGGAGACAACACAGAC